AGAGCAAGGCCGCCGCCAGCUCUCCCAGGAACCGUCGCGAGGCGUCCCCUCGGCGGCCGCCUCAGUUUCCCUGGCCGUAAAACGCGGGCGAUGGCGCUCGAUGCCCCGGGAGACGCCGGGGUCCGCGGGCCCUUCCGGCACCGGGUCCUCCUUCAGGUUCGGGCACCCGGCUGCCUCCACGCGGGGCGAGCGCGGCGAUGGGAUCGGUCCGUGCUGCGCUCAGCCCCGCUUUCGCUAUCCCUCUGCUCCAGGGGCAGCAAAAUCAGCAGAUGAGCCCCCAGCGCGCCUGCGGCCCACACACUGCGGCCGUAACAGUUAAACAGACGGGGAACAUUCAUGUGCGUAGAGCUCUUCACGGGGCGAUACAGAAAUGUGUCGUUCUAAAGCGUUAACGACCUGCAAUUUGCAUAUCCUCCAACACAUGGAUUUUACUGAUUCAAUUAUGGAUGUGUGCAAAGAAUCUGCUGCUCGCUAUAUGGGAACACUUUCAGUUUCCCAAGUUAAAACAUGAAAUUGCACAUCAUCAUUUGGAUCCCCAAAGAGGAAAAGAAAAAUUCACAACCUGCCAGUGAAAUACUCAGGCCACUUGGAUGAAGACCGAGGUCCUCCAUAGAAUCCAGGUGUUAUUUACUAACUAAUCAGAAAUUAAUAUCAAAAUAGGACUUAAAAAUAACAAGGCUGUGUUAUUACAGCAGUCUUUCCAGUUGUGUACGCUUUACUAAUCUAAAUUGGGUAACAGAACUGGAGAAAAGGAAGACUACACAGACUUAUCAUAAGCUGUUAGUGAACGUGAUAGAAAUGCGUAAUUUGUUAAAGCGAAUUACAGCUCUGAUUUGUCAAAUGAGGAGGUGAAUUAUCCUAGGAUUUGCUAUGCUGUUGUGGCGUUAGAAGAUUGGAUCUUUAGCAGCAAAGGUAACCUCAACAAUAUUUUCUGCUUAAGAAAGUGCCUUGGUUAAGGUAGACCGUGAUAUCGUCUUUGACUAAGCUCUCUGGGCUAUUGAUUCUGUCAUAUUCCAAAGGCAGUAUUGGUUUGAAGCCGAAUCUCACGGUCAAUGUCAACAUGCAAUCCACAAAGACCCUGGCGCCCUUCCACGGUAUGCACUAACCAAAACUUUCUCACUGUGAAAUCCUUUUUUUAAAAACAAGAAAACAAAAAACAAAAACCAAAAAACCUUACUGUGAAUCCUUUCCCAAGGAAUGGUCCCACCUUCACCUCGGAAAGAGGCGUGGCUUGCUCUGUAAGCAGGUCCACCCUGAGGAGACCGCUGGUGCAAGAGCCCUGCUUGCAGAACACACAGGGGGUUUUCCCACAUUCUUACUGGAGUCAGAUUCGGCAAAGCAUUUCAAGCAACUGCUGGACACUUCAAAUACCACUCCCUGUUAACAACGCCCUGAGUAUCUCACUGUCUCCAGGAUCUGGUUUAAAGGGAAACACAGAAAUGGCCAACAGCUCCCUCCCCAGGCAGGACUGCGAUUUCACAGACAACCUAUAGGCAUCCCCAGUCUGGUGAAUAAACAGGAGAGUGAGAGGAAAACAGCAAUCAUUCAACUCCAGUAGAUGUAAAGCCUCCAGAAGAAUGUGUCCCGGGAAGGUCAGAAAUGUCAUUUUUUUCCUCCAGCACAUUUCAUCUGCCACAUUCCGCCGUCCGAUGUUUGAGGAAGGAGCCCCGCCUUUCCUUCAGGGGUUCUUGUCGCCAAGUUUGAUGGUGACAGUUUUCACUUCUGUGUAUUCGGCCAAAGCGUAUUCACCUCUGUGAUCACAGAAAAGAGGAAAAUUCAAAAUGGGUACAUCCCUUAGCCAUUGUGUAGAAACUGUUCUGAGGCUUCAUCAUUCCAUCAGGCCGUUGGAGGCUUAUGCAAAAGGUUAAAAUGUGACGACCUCAUGGAAUAAUAGCCAGGACUAUAACAGCACUAGUAAGUGUCAGUAGCUGCAUAUGUGACUUAAAUGUAAAUAUCAAGGUCUUCUUCUGUGUGAUGCUUUUGAAAUGGCCAGGACUAAGGGUUUCCCUUUAGAGAAUGAAGGGGAUUUUAAAAAAAGUAAAGAGGUGAAUUCCCUGGGGUGGCAAUAGAGAGCAAAACGAGAGAGCCUGGUGGACGGUGGGGUGUCUGUGAACGAGGGAGGGGCAGAAAUUACACUGGGUUGAUAACUUUUAGAUGGCAAUUGGGAGCUGCUUGAAGAGGAGACAGAAGAGGCAGAGGCCCAAAGCUAUUGGCUGGGGAUGUGGCCAGAGGACCAGUGGGAAGAACACCAAGGGCCUGAAGCUGGCCUCAGAGUGCACAGCUGGGGACCAGCUGUCAGGCAGUGAGGCCAGCCUAGGGGGCAUGAGAGAAGCAGACGUUAGCACAGAGUGGACAUGGGGAGGCCACAGCUUUUGGGUUCACAUCCUUGGUAUAGUUCCUUUCUUUAAAUCUUGCAGGGCUCAGGUGAUCCUUCCCUGGCACCAUGGGCCGUCUUCAGGGUAGCUUCCCUUCCAAGACCCAAGAGGCAGCUUUGGAGAGAUUUAAAUCCUUCUAAGCGCUUGAUCUGCUGUCAGGUGAAGAAAAAUGUGUGCUUGUUUAGGAAGAGAUGAAGGUAGAGGUGGCCACUGGAGUCUCUGUAGUUAAAAAGACCUGUGACAGAAUCCCAUCUCCUCCCUUAGAUCAAUGGUUCUCAAAGUGUGGUCCCCAGACCAGCAGCAUCAGCCUCACCUCUGAACUUGCUAGAAAUGUAGAUUCUCAGGCCUCCCCCAGCCCUACUAUCGUAGGCAGAAUAAGGAUCUCCCCAGGUAUCCAAAAUUGGAUCCCCCAAACCUGUGAAUAUGUUGGGCUACAGAGUGAAGAAUUAAUGUUGCAGAUGGAAUUCAAGUUACUAAUCAAUUGACUUUAAAAGAGGGAGACUCUCCUGGAUCAUCCAGGCAGACCCAGUGUAAUCACAAGGGUCCCCAAAACUGGCAGAAGAAGAGAGGCAGAGCAAAAUGAGAUUAUAGAAACAGGUUCAGAGAGCAGCAGUGCUGGCUUUGAAGAUGGAGGAUGGGGCCACCAGCCUAGGAAUGCGAGCAGCCUCUAGAGGAUGGAAAAGGCAAGGAAGUAGAUUCUCUCCUGAGAACCUCCAAAAAGGAAUGAAGCCCUUGAUUUUAGCUCAGGGAGACCUGUGUCAGAUUUUUAUCCUACAGAACUAUAAGAUAAUAGAUUUAUGUUAUUUAAGCCACUGAUGUUAUGGUAACUUCUUGCAGGAGCAAUAAAAGACUAAUAAACUUACUGAAUCAGAAACUCUAUGGUGGGGCCCAGACAUCUGUAUUUUAACAAGUCCUCCAAGUGAUUCUGAUGCAUACUCAAGUUGGAGAACCACUGGCUUAGAACUAUGUUGCUUAGGUAAGUUCUUUGCCUUCCCUGAGCCUCAACUUCAUCAACUAUCAAAUAGGAAAACCAUCACCUCCUUGUAAUUAUAACAAUUACAGAUAAUCAUGUAGAGCCCCUACUAUGUGUUAGGCAGAAAAUGAAUGGUAGGUGCCAUUGAGAUUUUUAGGUCAUUUCCUAAAACAAAUAGUUCCAGAACCCAUGAAAAUAAGUGAAUUAUUUUAUAAUCUUUCCUAAAUAAAACACAAAACAUAAAAGCCAUAAACAGAAUGCUAAAUUCUAUUUUUGUAGAGCAGAGACUCCAUUAAAAACUCCCAAAUGACAAACUAGAAAAAAAAUUUACAACACUGUGUGAAAAUCAGAGUGUGAUUUUCCUUAAUAUACAAAGAGCUCUUGCAAACCAACAAGAAAAACACAAAUACCCAAAUGGAAAAAUCAACAAAGGACAGGAAUAGUUAGUUUUCAGAAAAAGAAAUAUGAAUUACCAAUAAGUGUGAAAAUGGUGCUCAAUGCCAUCAUGAUUAAAGAAAUGUAACCAAAACAGUGGUGAGCCCAUUUUUCAUGUGGCAGAUUACUCAAUUUUAGUAAUUUAUUCUGAAAACAAUCUCCCACAAGUGUAUACUUCCACUUGUAUGCACAAGGAAGUACAUCAGCAUGGUUUGUAAUAGCAGAACCCCUUGGAAAUACACAAAAGUUCCUCAUGGGAGAUCAUCAAUAAAAAGAACGGAAGGAUAUCCAAAACCCAGUCUCAAUAACGAAAUGUAGCUUGCUCCCAUUUCAUUUGAAAACAGAAAAGAACACACAUAUAUAAAUCCAUUGUAUGCAAAUAAAAUGCACAAUACACUCUAAAAGUGAGAAUACAAUGUUGCAUUGUAAAAAUUCAAAGCCAAUAAUUAUUUAUCAAGUUAGUAAAGAAAAGAAACGCAAACAAAGUGAUGAAAUCAGAUUGAAUUAACACAUAACUAACACAUGCAGUAGGAUUACAGCAUUCCUUUAAGAAUCAAUACAGAGCUCCUCUCAUUCUUUCAUUUCUGAAGUUGCUGUCCUGGUUCAAAUUCUUGCUGCUCUUAUUCAACCCAGUGGGACAUCUCCUCAAUGGAUUCUCAGCCAGUCUCAACCACUUUGCAGUUCAAAGCUAUCCAGGAGCCCAGCCUUACUCCUGUUAAACCUCACCAGAAUGUCAGGAGGCACAGGGACUGGUGGCUGUGUUGUUCACUGCAGUAUGCUCAGAGCCUAGCAUCAUGCCUGGUGAAUCAAAGAUGCUCAAGAAGUAUUUGCCAAGUGAACAAAAGAAUGAAUGAGCAAAUGAAUGAUGGAACAACGUUUACCUCUAACAAAUGGGACUGAAGGUCAGGGAGGGAAGCCUUGACUUUCCAUAUCUCUAUUGCGUAGAUUUUUUGGUUACUAUAUCAUUUUUAUUCAGAAGAAAGGCUCCCAGGAGGAAGAGGAAUUUCAGGCUCCAUCCUGAGACCCGCACAGAAACAGCUCCCGGAGGGGCCCGUGGGUGGGCGGCCAGAAGCCAGCCCAGUCCAGGUGGCCGGGGACGGGGAAAACCAUGGAAUCCCCCGCACGAUGCUCCAGCAUUAAAAAAGGGGAACUUCUUGCAACAUGAAGACAUUAAUUAGAGACAACUGAAGACAGAAAUUGGUUUUCCAGGCAGUUUCUAGGCUCCUUGUGAAUUAUUUUUAAAUAUUUUAUCAAAAGCCUUGAGAAAAUAUAGGCCAAGGGCCUAAAAAACAGACAUUCAAAAAAGUCCCGAUGGAGGCUAACUGGCAGGAGGACACAUGGGCUGUGUCCAGUGAGUCCUCACCAAGCCCUGCUCUGUGCCAGGCGAGGGGGUGUUAAGGAGCCAAAAGCACUGUUAGGGUGGCAAGAGGGAAGGUUGCAAUGAGGGUGAAUCACCAGUGCAAAGCAGUACACACCAGGGAUUGGGGGCCCUGCAGCUUCUACGCCCAGGGACAUUUGCUUCGGGGACUGGAGUCCUUGCUGUGGCGUGAGGCUGUGUCUGGCGUCUGGGAGGAGGACUGUGUGGGGUCUGGGUUCCCCAGCCCUAAUGACCCAGCUGGUUGAAGGCAGCAGAUGAAAGGAGACAAAUGACCACGCAAACCCUGGGUGGCCUCAUGAACAGGUGGCGGACAAGGGUGAUCCCUGUUGAGCAAGGUCCUGCACUGCGGUGGGUCCAAGGACUAAGCUGCCAGCAUUCAUUUCUGACUGUCACUUACCAGCUUCCUGUGCCAUUUUCUCAUCUGAAAACAGCUGGACCCAUCUCAUGGAUGGGCGUGAGGAUGGUAUGAAGGAACAGGCAUAGAGAGCUCAACCGAGCCUGCUGCAGAGUCUGUGCUCAGCAAAUCCCAGCUGUUGCCAGUACUGUUGCUGUUGGAGGGCCCAAGAGGGGACCCUGGUGACCCCAGCCCUGGCUGCCUGUCCCUGGAGGGGCAGGUGUAAGAAGUGAUGAAGCAGGGGCUCACAGAACUCAAAUGCAAACAGGCCACUAGAGGGAGGAAAUGCAAUUUCUGCAAAGGGGUUUCAUGGCCAACAAUUACUGAUGUCCGCUGAAGGCGAAGCCAGCCACAGGGAUAAGGGGGAAGGCUAAUGGACAGGCUUCACUCACAAGUGCAGACGCCUUGGAGUAUUUGCUGAGAGUCAGGGAUGGACUACAAAGCAGGACUGAGGUGGGAGGGGGACAGGACCCCAAUUCCACAUAGACUGGUCAAGAACAUCUGUUUGGGGAUGGAAGCCAGGCCCAUCCCUUCACAGCAUCUUUAAGAAUCUCAAAAGAGAGCCACACAAAGGCCCCAACCAAGGCCCAAGGUGAGGGGAAGCGUUUGAGUCUGUUCCCGCUGGAAGAAGUGCAAACAAGGGACUACAUUUGUAUAUAAAUAGGACAGACUAGUGAAAUAAAAGGAAGAGUUUGGGUCCCUAGAGAUGUCCCAGGAACCUGGGGUGUUGUCACAGAUGGUUCCUUGGGAACACUGAUCCUACAAAAUGUUUGUCCACACAGGCUAAUAAAAUCCUGAGCUGGGGAGAGAAGACAGUGUCCGGCUGGAAACCACACAUCUCCACUCCCGGGUUGCUCUAGCCAGCUCUGGGUGUGGGCCAGACGCAAGAAGUUCCACCCAUUAAUCUAAACCUAGGGAACUCAUUUUCCCAGCAGGCAGGACAAAAAAGGAAGUGUGGAGGGGUUUGCACACACAGUGGAGGGGUUUGCAGUGGGUUUGCACACACACGAAGGGGUUUGCAGUGGGUUUACACACACGGAGGAGUUUGCACACACAUGUGGAGGGGUUUGCAGUGGGUUUGCACACACUGGGGUUUGCAGUGGGUUCACACACUGAGGAGUUUGCACACACAUGUGGAGGGGUUUGCAGUGGGUUUGCACACACAGUGGAGGGGUUUCCAGUGGGUUUGCACACACACAAAGGGGUUUGCAGUGGGUUUACAUGCACACGUGGAGGGUUUGCAGUGGGUUUACACACACGGAGGAGUUUGCAGUGGGUUCACACACUGAGGAGUUUGCACACACAUGUGGAGGGGUUUGCAGUGGGUUUGCACACACACGGAGGGGUUUGCAGUGGGUUUACAUGCACACGUGGAGGGUUUGCAGUGGGUUUACACACACGGAGGAGUUUGCAGUGGGUUCACACACUGAGGAGUUUGCACACACAUGUGGAGGGGUUUGCAGUGGGUUUGCACACGCACGGAGGGGUUUGCAGUGGGUUUACAUGCACGCGUGGAGGGUUUGCAGUGGGUUUGCACGCGCAUGGAGGGGUUUGCAGUGGGUUUGCACACGCAUGUGGAGGGAUUUGCAGUAGGCUUGCAUAUACUGAGAGGGCCGCAGAGGCCCAGCAGGAGGUGUUGUCAUAUGCCUCCUGGGAGGAGGUCCCCUACUAGGCUCAGAAAAAAGGACCCAGCAGGUAGGAGCCUUACCUGGGUCAGCCUUACCUGUCUUCACUGCUGUGAGUGGGGAGUUGUGUGAAUAAUGACACCCCACAUCUGGCAAAAGUACACUUUUUCAGUUCUGCCUGUGUCCCCGUCCAGGGAGCUUUUGUCAAAUAUCCACUGAAUGUCCCCAGCAUGAUGGCUGCUGGGCAGACACAAAAGCCGAGGCCUGGAGGGGGGCAGGCUGAGGAUGUAAGUGGGAAGGGUGGGCUGGAGAGAGGAAGGGAUGGGUCCCCACCAACCCUAGAGGGACACAGCUGGCCCAGACAGAGCGGCGGUGUGGGGGGGACGGGGUGUCAGCAGAUUGGAGCCUGUGUCACUGCCUGCAAAUCUAGUGGAUCUAGUGUUCAGCCCACGGCAGGCUCAGAAUGAUGGAAACACUUACAGUUCUCUGCCAUUUCCUGACAUUUUAAAGCCACCAAAUGGAGCCUGUGCAUAGAGGGCGUUGUAGCAGUUGAUCCUAGAAAAGAAUGGAAGAAAGCUCAGAGUCAUCUGGAGAAGACCCCCUGGCUCCUGGCACUGCAGCCACUUAGCCCCCAGUGCAGGGCAUUGUCUAAUAAACAGUCUUUUGCCAAAGCUUCCUUGAUGAAAACACAGGGUGCUCUCAACUUUUGUCUUCUCAUUCUUCUCAUCAGCAACUAAAAUUUGGAAAUCCUCAAGUACAGAGUGUGUUUCAUUGGGAUAGGAAUGAAAUGAUAAGGGGAGAAAAAAGAAGAGAGGGCCAGGCAUGAUGACUUAUGCCUGUAAUCCCAGCACUUCGGGAGGCUGAGAUGGAUGGAUCACCUGAGGUCAGGAGUUCAAGACUAGCCUGACCAACAUGGUGAAACCCCAUCUCUACUAAAAAUACAAAAAUUAGCUGGGCGUGGUGGCGUGCACCUGUAGUCCCAGCUACUGGGGAGGCUGAGGCAGGAGAAUUGCUUGAACCUGGGAGGUGGAGGUUGCAGUGAGCCGAGAGUGUGCCACUGCACUCCUGCCUGGGGGAAAGAGCAAGACUCCAUCUCAAAAAAAAAAAAAAAAAAAAAAGAAAGAAAGAAAGAAAAAGAAAAAUCAGGGUGUAGAGGAAUAAGAAUUAGCUUUGAAAUGAGACAGAACUGACCCCAAAGUUCUCCUGCUUCCUGGUUAUAUGAUUCUGGGCUUAUUGCUCAACCUCUCUGAGCCUCAAUUCAUUAAUCUUUAAUAUGGGGAUCACAAAACAUAAUCUGCAGAAUUACUGAUGAGGCAGAGACUAGUAUCCACAUUUUGCAGAUGGGCAUGAACUGCUUUUAGAAUCAGAAUGGAAAAUAAAGUUGGAGGGGCAGUACAGCACAGGGGCCACAGGCACAGGUACUGGAGCCCUCUCGGCCAUCUGCUAGCUGUGUGACCCUGGGCAAGUCACUUCAUCUCUCUGUGCCUCAAUUUUCUCAUCUCUGAAAUGGAGACAUAAUGGCAGCUACCUCAGAAGAUGGUCAUGAGGAUGGAAGGAAGCACUGAGACAGGGCUUGGUAUAUAAUAUACAAUGUAAACAAUGAGAAACUCUCAGUUAAUAGAAGAAUAAUGAACUUAGCAAGAAGCAACUCAGGAGAGCUGAAAUACACACACAGUCAACUCACCAGACCGUUCCAGACUCUAAGGCAGAAGCCAACUUCAGGGCUUUGUCGAGAUUUUUUGUGAACACGGCUGCUGUGAGUCCAUAGUCGGUGCUAUUCGCUCUUUUUAUCACUUCUUCGAUACUUUUGAACUUCAGUAUUGGUUGCACUGGCCCGAAAAUCUAUGAUUAAUUGCAAGAAUGGCAAUGAGAGGCAUGACUGAAUGGAAAUGCAUGCUGUGAACAAGCAUUUCCUUCUCUUUACAUGUUUUUCAUAUGCCCAGAGCACACACAUGCCUGAAAAACGAUGAUUAGAGAAGAAAGAACGUCCAAACAUUGCUUCAGCUGCAUUGCCAUUGGAGACUGAAGGGAAGGAUUAACAUGAAACAAAAAUAAAAAAUAAUAACAAAAAAUAUAUGUUGUGUUUAAGAUGUCUUGUUGUCAUCAGGGUUUCCGAGAAACCCAGCCAGAGAGCCUUGGAGUAACCCAUAGAUGCACAGAACACAAAACCUUUAGGUAACUUUUUUCGGAGUUGUCCUGAAGGAUAUCUGCAGGCACUUUGUAAGACUGUGCUCCUACCUCUUGGAGCUGUGUUUUCUACCAAGGAAGACACCCUAGAACGUUUCCAUAAUAACUACCAGGGGAAGGAAUGACACAAUAUUCACCACAGUUUGUGACACAGCAAAGAAAAGGAAAUGGAAGAACUAAGGCUUGAACAUUUAAAGGUGAUUUUGAAGGGAGCUUGUAAUUGAUUCAAUAUUAGACAUAAUUAUAAGCCGGCAGGAUGGUGCCUGGCCUGCCAAAAUACCUUCCGGGUUCCCCAGGACCUCUCGUCACAGGGAUGUUUAAGGAGCUGAGCUUCAUGCCAUCACGGCACAUAACAAUCUCAAGGAAGACGCCUCUGAAAUACCUGCCCCAGAAAGCCCUUGGCAGGGACUCAUCCUUUUAUGUGCCCCAAAAUACCACCUCCAGGGUCUAACCUCCUGGGAUCCAGCUCUCCUCUUACAAAUGCUGUGUGGGAACCAGUUCCCGUCUAGUGUAACAGUGGAGUUGAAAGAGAAAGAUUUACACUCUUAUGGGAGUGGGGGAGUCUCCUUAAUUUCCCUCAUUUUCAAGACGUCCGUGGUGGAAAAUGUCAAUAAAAAUUCCAGCUGUGACAUGUUCCUUGAGUGAACACUUGAAAUUCAGUCUAGGGGCACUGAAGGCGGCUUUGGGCCCUGAAUCCACAGGUUCUUGAACUGAUUCCUGGCAAAACCCACAGGUGGCAACAGUUCUCCACCUGCGGCUGCAUGACUGACUCGGGGACCGGUUGUGUUAGAAAAUCAGAGAGGGCUUGCUGCUCCCAGAGAGGGUGAGCCAUGAGUGAAAACUAGCUAGAACAAACAAGGUACCUGCUGUAUCAUGCUUGGAGUUCGCCAGAGGCAGGACAAAACGGCUUCCCUAGGGACCCCAAAGGAGAGGGGAAAGACCACACAGAAAAAACAACAACGACAACAACAGCAACAAAAACAAAAAAACACUCAGAUCACAAGGAUUUCUGGGAUCCCUGGGCCCUAGGGAAGGACUCGUGUUUGAAAGGCCCCGCAAGUCGUAGCCUUGCCACAGCCCCCUUGUACCUCCUCUUUGGCAAUCCGCAUGUUGUCUGUGACUUCUGAGAAGACAGUGGGUUUGAUGAAGAGCCCCUUGUCUUCCAUGGCUGAGCCCCCGCAUUCCAGCUUGGCCCCUUCCUUCUUCCCACUCUCGAUCAGCUCUAAGAUUUUGUCGAACUGCUUUUGAUCAAUCUGCAAGACACAAACAAGAAGUACAGCCUGGCUUCCUUCUGGGCAGUGGCUGCCAUCUCAUGUUUUCAGUGGCCUUCAACAUGAUCAGCCAUCCUCCCUCUGCAUGUUCUUGUCAAGCCAUGAUCCAUGUAACUAAUGAGCCUUGCAGGCAAAUAUUCCUCUGAUGCACAGAGCUGGGCUCUUUGGAGCAGGGGAGAGAUGGGGAGAUAGACUAGUCUCAUCCUCUGGAGGUUUGGGACAUAUUUACACUUCUAUCUCCCUUUUCCAUGCAGCAAAGUUAGUCCAUGAGUGACACAGGUCUGAAGUGGUCACAGUCUUUCUUCUCCCAACUCUUUACAUUCUACUCAGGUUGCCAAAUUUAGCAAAUAAAAAUACGGGAUGCCCAGUGAAUCUGAAUUUCAGAAAAAUGACACAUAAUUUUUUUUAGUAUGUCCCAAAACAAUAUUUGGGAUAUACUUAAGCUAAAAGUGCAUUUACUGUUUAUCUGAAAUUCAUGUUUACCUGGGUGCCAUGUAUCACCUGGCAACCCUGUGCCCUGCUCAGUUGGCACCGUGAAUCAGGGUAAUAGUUACUGGAAUUCUCCUGUCAUGGUGCAGAGAAGCGAGAAGAAAAGCUAACCACCUUACUCAACACCCCUGGGGACAAAGCAGAAUGAGCCUCCAGGUGGGGUGGCAGGGCUGCUCCUUGGUUGGUGGUGGGAACAGCUCAUGAGAAAGACUCUCCCUUUUGCUAUCUUGUCUAGACGUCUCCUUGGCUGGAGUUUGCCCUGUGCCACCAGCCUGACCCACAGCUUGUGAACACGCUACUGAGCAGUUGUCAAAAGCGCACCCUUUUGGGAGACUGCUCAAGAGGGAAAAUGCUCUUUCUGCCCCCUCCACUGGUCCUUCUUCCUGAAAUCUAUGGGAAUCUUGUCCUUUAUCAUGAUCUGUGGCUGGUCUCCCUCCUCUUUGGCUGGGAGAGACAAAGCUUUACUAGGUUUACUUUAGCUGGGAUUUUUAGAUGGGAAAACUGGUUUCAUUCCAAUGAUCAUAAACAGAAAAAGAAGCAAACCCAGUGGUGCAAUUGGAUGACGGUCUGUCCUGGAGGAGCAGGAGAGAGGGCAUAAACCGUGCAUGCCACUUGACCAAUCAUCUCAUGAAAUAUGGACCCAGUUUAAAAAUACUAACUCAGAUCCAUACCUCACACUUUAUACCAGGCCAAACUCCAAACCCAGUUUAAAAAUACUGACUCAGAUCCAUACCUCACACCUUAUACCAGGCCAAACUCCAAACCCAGUUUAAAAAUACUAACUCAGAUCCAUACCUCACACCUUAUACCAGGCCAAACUCCAAACCCAGUUUAAAAAUACUAACUCAGAUCCAUACCUCACACUUUAUACCAGGCCAAACUCCAAAUAGAUCAAAGAUAUAACCAGGAAAAACAAAACCAUAAAAGUUUUAUAUGUGGGAGACUUAUCCUGCAAACUUGGAGUGCCUUCUAAUGACUCAAAAUGCAGAAGCCAAAAAAGAAAAGAUGUAUAAUUUUGAGUAUGUAAAAAAAAUGGGGUGGGGGCAAAAUUAUCAUAACAAAGAGCAAAACAACAAACUUGGAAAAAAUAUUAACAAGUCAUAUUCAUAGAAAGCUAAUCUCUCUACUAUGUAUGUAAAGAGGUCUUAGAAGUGAUAAGAAAAAUGCCUAACAGCUUGCAAGAAAAAUACGCAAAGCACAUUUGAUAAUAAAGGAAAUACAAACGGUUUUUAAAUAUAUAAUAAGAUGUUCUACCUUGCUUAUUAUAAGCGGUAGAUGCAUAUUAAAAUGAAACAAGAUAGCAUUUUUAACUCUCCUAUGGGCAAAAAUCCAUAUUCUGUUGGAAAGGGUAAAGAAACAGACAAACUUCUAGAAUGUUAGUAGGAAUACACGUUGGUUCAGCCUCUAUGGAAGGUAAUUCAGCAACACUUAAGGAAAUUAGAAAUGUGUUCCCACUUAGCAACCCACUUUGGGAAAGCUGUCCCAGGGAUUUCCUUGUGUGUGUGUGAAAUCACAUACUCUGAGGCCUUGUGUGUGACUGCACAUACCUGCAUGCUAAUCAGAAGAUGUUACUGAAAUUCUGGUGGCUUCAUCCAGCAGAAUUCCAUACACAUGUGAAAAAGAAUCAGGCAGGUUCCCAUGGACUGGUAUAAAGAGCUCUUCCAGUUUUUUUAGGGAACAAUAAACAAAGUGCAAGAUGAUAUACUAUCAUGGAAACUUCCGUGUAAAAAUAACAAAGGCAAUCAGGACUUGCAUUCAUCUGCUUGCAUGCACACGAAAACAUUCUAGAGGGAAACAUGAGGAACUAAGAACUGGGGAUACCGUGGGGAGAAGGGUAAGAACCAGGUGUACAAAGGUGGGGGCGGGAGGGGCGGGAAUCCUUUCACUAUAGACGUUUUUAGGCGUUUUGGGGUUUGACCCGUGUAUGUGUACUCCACUCAAAAAAAGUAACAAAAACAGCUUUGCAACAGAUCCCGGAAGAGCUCAAGGUUCUCUCAACUUCUCUCUGGGUGAACCAAGUCUCAGGUUAACAGUUCCAGAUGCUGCUGAGCUGCUCUUCCCCUCCCUGAGGGGCCAAAAGGGACACAGGGGCUUCGCCCAACCGCAGGUCCUCCCUGGCUGCUGGGCAUAUGCCAUCUGGCAGACCCUGUUUGUCCUGCAGGCAGUGCUGGGUCCCCGUGGAAAACCUACACAUCCAAACUCCACACUCCCUGGAGAGCCCGUAGGAACACAUUGUUUAAAUCUAAUAAUCCUCCAUGAAAUGUCAGCUGGUGCCUUACAGUACAGGAAGAGAGACCUGCCAGGAAGUGAGAUGACGCAGCAGGGCACAACACCAGAAACAGGGAAAUACGGCCCCCACAGGACUGGCUCAAGGCUGUGCUCGGCUCUCUGCCCGGAGGACGCUGCCGGAUCCUGCCCGGCCAGGUGGCCUGCAUAAUGUUUAUGUGCCUCGUUGCUCAGUUGCCAAAUAAACCUGAAUGAUUUUGGAGCAUUCCUGUGAGCGCUAGCCCGGCCGUGGACCCGGAUCUAGGUCAGCUAGCUGUUUUACAGGCAUGAGACAGACAGGACUAUUUAGACAGCUGUAAGUCCUCUCAGAGUAAAAUCUUAUUACCGUAGAUGAAAAAGCACUUUGGAAGAAAAAGAAACCCCAACAGCAUUCUAAAAUAAUAUGCUGAGGUUAGACGGCUUUAGUGAGCUUUCAGAAGGACUUUGAGCGGUGGCAUAAAUGCACUGAUGAAAUCAGCACCCAUUCUGCCUCUAUCUGUUCUCUUGGAAGAAAUCGGUGUAUCUGGCCUCAAAAGUCAAGACUCAGACAUCAGGCAUAAGCCAAGAAAAGAGCCACAGAAAGAGACUUACAAAUAACGACGGGGUAAAAAAGUUUCUUCUGUAUGGGGAUCAGUUCACAUAUUUCCCACUGAUUGUGGAUUAGCUUUAAAACUCACGGCGGAUUCAAUAAUGACUUGUGGUCAUGUUUGCGUUCAGAUCUGAAAUCCAGCCGAGGCCAUUAGACAACCUUGUGUCACUGACCGCUGGGUUUGGGGCACAGGCUGGGCAGGCAAUGACUGAGGAGAAGGAAUGUUAGCCACAAGAAGUGCUUUCUGCCAGGGUCACGUGGCGUCGGAGUGUGUGGACUGGGGCCAGUGGAGGGUGGGCACUGAUGGCCAGAAAUGCAUCCUUCCUCCAUGAGGCCCUCCCUUCUUCCCCAGCCAGGGCAUCCCCACAGGACAGCCUGAUGUCAUGCACAGACACUCACUGCCACCUAGACUGGAGAACCUGUCAUUUAAAGCUUCCUCCUGUUUAAAAAUAAAACCUGCCCAUAAUUGAAUACUUCCUAGGUGCCAUGAAAUUCUCAUAAUAUUCAUUGAUUACUCCCACUCUCCAGAUGAGGAAACUGAGGCAUGGAAGGGUUUUUGUGACUUUCAUAAAACCCAGGGCCAAAUCUGAGCUCAGAUCCACAGCAGCCUCCCCUGUAAACAUGCAGUGCUGUCACAGUAGGGGAAGUGGCAGCCUCCCGGGAUAGACACAAGUGGGUAAGUCACGGACAUGUGACUUGAAAUUUCAUGGCUGGGGCAGGACUUUGGCUAAAAGCAAAGUGAGUGACUGCUGAGCUCCAUUUCAAUAAUGCAUGGGAUGGUCAGGCUGCCCUCUUUUAAAUAUUUAUCCAUCUGCUUCACUUCAUAAUUAGUAAGAAAGUGAUACAGGAUGUGCCGUUUUAAAGAGGAUAUUAAAUCUCGUGGUUAUGAUCAUUUUCAUCCUGUCCUUGGCUUCCCAAACUCAUCCUCCAGAGACAUGUUCCUACUGCCUGGAGAUACAUUCUCCUGCCCCAGGCUCUCUCCGUCUGGGAUUGUUUGAUUUCUGAUGGUUCACCUUGUCCUGUAACCCACGUGGGCUUGAGGGCCUCGGGCUGCGACUGAGACUCCAGGCCACACGCUGCCUGCACUCUGCUGCCUUCAGCCAGCCUACAGCCCCUUUUCUGUAGGGAGGUCAUCCUGGAGAGUGGAGGGUUCAGGCAGAUGGCCUUCUGCCCUGGGAAUAGCGCCCUCCUCCCAUGCCUCAGUGUGUCCUGCCCCCUUUCGUGAGCCCCCGGGACCUGACAGGAUUGUGUUUCUGAUCAGUUUCUAAAGAAAAGAAAGCCUCCUGGGCAGGACAGGUCAGCAUUCCUUUCACGGAGAGGGACCCUGUAGGCGGUUGCCAUGGGACUGCCUGCUUCAGCCCCUAGACAAGCACCAUGGUUUCACACACACCAGGGGGAUUACCUGAGGCCCCUGUUCUGUUUUGACAUCGAAGGGGUCUCCCACGGGCCGUUUCUUGGCAUACUCCACGCUCCGCCUGACAAACUCAGAGUAGACCUGCUCCUCCACGAACACCCUGGAGGCUGCCGUGCAACACUGGCCUUGGUUGAAGAACACUCCCUGAUGGGCACACUCCACUGCCAAGUCCACUGGAGGGGGAGGGGCGAGGGAGGCGGGCAGAGCGAGAGGAAGCGAUUAAGUUGUUAAAGCAGGACUGGUGACAGCUGCAAUUCUAAUUGCCCACACAAGAAAACAGGCCCCAGGAUGGCUGCAUUUCAGAAAUUAAUUUUGUUUGCAGACUUUCCCAAAUAGAGAGGAAGGGAGAAAGGAUUUUGGGGUCCACCAAGUUUGGGGUUAAAUCAAUUCCCUGACUGCAGGACUUCUCAGUACCUUUAAUAUGCUAAUAAGUCCAGAGAGUCAUAGCACCCUCCAUUUCACUUGCCUUUUUCUAGAGGACUCCCCUCCCCUCCCCUUUUUCUAGAGGACUAAUGUUUUAUAGAAUAAACUUCGGUAAUUAUUGAUGUAGGCCCCCUGGCGAGAACUUCUAAAGAAGCCAAAAUGUUCCACCUUGAGUAAAAGAAGGGUCUUAUUAAGUAAGAUAAUAUCAUGUGUGUGACUUAGAAGGGCUGACUAAGUUGCAGAGCUGACAUUGAACUAAAACCAGUUAUUCAAACCAAGCCAGAGGGUAUUUAGAGAAUAAGAUCUUGGGGGACACGCUUAGUGGAUAAGAAUGGUAUUGGGAUGUCAUUUACAUCUACAGAGGGGUUUCUAGUGUUCAACCGUUGGCUGGUUUCAUCACCACCAACCCCCGCACUAUUGCUUUCUUAAGAAAUGCAGCUUUCCUUUGCAUAGAGGCUGGCAGUGGCUCUGGGCAUUGGAAGGUGAUCCGUUCCAAUUCCACAGGGGCUGCUCCAAGGGACUGUGCCCUUGGCUUUGAGAAGGAGGCUGCUCCUAUCUAGCUGAGUCAUUUGUGGAAGUUUCAGUGGCAGCAGGACAGCACCAUAAGGUUUGGGGGUACCUCUCUGCACCCUUGACCCCUGCAGCUGGCUGGGCCAGGUCCCAACUUGGAACUGCCCCUCCUCCGAGAUAACAGACUCAUUUCCUGCUCCUGACGGAGCUAGGGGUGAGGCGAAGGGGCAGGGGAAUGGUGGCUUGUUACCCUUGAUGUCUUGCCUGGGAUGCUGGUUAUGUCAGGAUGUAAUUUGUGGACUGGCACCGCCCUGAUGAGGAGAAGGAGGUGGCUACACAGCAUGUUUUUAUGACCCUCGUAAGUAAAACCAAGCCCCAAACACAAUUAGUCCUGUGCUUUAGCUGCAGUUUUCCUCCCCAAGAGGAGGAAGAUGAACUUCAGUGCAGGUGGCGUAUCCAGAUACGGUGGCACAGGAAAGCAAAACAGGAGUCCUGGCUGUUUGGGACUCCAAAUGUGAGUCACAGUGCCAGAAAUGCUCCGUGUGGCUCCAAAAACCACUUGCUAUUCAUAGCACUAAUGGUGCUUCCACAAGGGAACACUGACCCAGGCAAGAAAUGGAAAGUCCAUCUUCACACCCAGCUCCCCUUUCCUUCCUGAGAGCCUGUAUCCUCCUCCUGUCCUUUCUCCCAUUGUGAAAGCCAGCUGCCAGAAAGGAACUGAUAUCAGUCAUUUACACCUUAGUAAGAAAUUGUGCCAGGGUCAUUUUUCUUGGGGAUAUUUGCAAUUCCAACCUUAUCUGAGUGUGAAGUGAAAGGCUUUGUUCUCCACGACAGGAAUUUCUGGCACCCGUGGACAGGUCUGGGAGGCUAUUCUUUAAGGCAAAGGUGUUUCAAGGCACUUGGGAAGUCACACCUUUUGAUAGCUGACCCUGUCAGCAGGUGAAUGAAUGCCCGGCCAGCCCUUCCUUCCCUCUUGUGGACAUGGCAGCCAACAAUAGCAUAUAUUUUAACGCUGUGUCGUUUGGCUGUCAAGACGCAAGCUAUCCCCAAACUGCUGGGCAGGUUGCUUUCCCAGGGCAGGGGUGCAGGCCUAGAACCAGGCAAAGCGGGUAAUUUGAAGGAUCAGUUGCUACUGCCCUCCUCUGAUUUAUCAGGUCUGAGACACAAGGAAAGAGCACCUCCACUCUUCAGGGAUCUUAAAACAUAUGAUAGGAAAUGUGACUUGGAGGGGAGAAUGAAUGACUGGGAGUGGGCAGCACCUGCCCUCCCCACUCCUCCCAGGGGGCUCUGGAGGAGAAGCCAGACCUGCUCCUCGUGACCCCAGCUCUGCAGGAACAGGCAGGUAAACUUAACGCUAAGGCGCAGAAACAGGCAGCCUCUCAGGUGCCACUCAAGCCAUAUCGUUUUGGCAGUAGAAGGCAGCUUUCUGCUAGAAGUAAAGCUGGCAUUUUGAUGUCCACCUGCCUGUCUGCGGCUGGCUGACUGUGGGCAGGAUGCCCACGGUGGAAGCGUCCCCACUGUGUGUGCACACAUCUUACUCUCAGUUGGUUUUGAAUUCAGGCCAGGAAGUAGGGGGAGACAGAUGGAUGCCCUGAAGCCCCAGCAAAGCCCAGGAGGGCAGAGACUCACAGUCAGCGUCCGCACACACGAUGCAGGGGUUCUUCCCCCCCAGCUCCAGCGUCACCCGCUUCAGAUUGCUCCGGGACGCAGCUUCUUUAACCAGUUUUCCAACCUCCAGGACAGAACACAGAUCACAAUUUACCUUGGAUGUUGCUGAACUUGGCCCAGGCGUAAACAUCAGUGAACAUUCUGAUCAAGCCCGGGUGGCAGUGCCACCACCUGGCUCUCGGCCCAGGCGCUCCAGGCCCCGAUGCCGUCCCUUCACUGUCCUGGCCUCUGCCAGCAUCUCCUCCCAUGCCAGACCAUGACAUCCUGGGAUCCUUGGUCUAAGCCGCUCCACUUACAGGUGUGAGUUAGAGCCUCUGGAAGCCCACACAGCUGGCUGGGAACAGGGCUGCCACCCGCUAACCUGUCCUGGUGCCUGUCCUUCUGAGCCCAGCAGGCUGGUCCAGCCAGUCUGGUAAAGGGCUUCAGGGACCGCAGGGUGACUCUUCUACCUCUCACUAGAAACAGCUGAAAUUCCAACAGCCCAGUAGGGGGGUGGUUCUGUGUGGCUCUUUGGUGUGAUCUGAGGGAACCUCCAAGUGUUAGAGAAGUAGCGAGGGCAGCCAGCCUUCCGGAUGAGAAGGAGCCGAUUCUCUGGAAACACACUCUAAGACUGAGGCUGCCGCAGACAGGCAGGGAGUGAAGGGGUGCGCUAUGAGCAGAAAAGCCACUCACCAGUCAUGCUCAAGGCCCCCACGGGGUCUCUCCCAUUGCCCACUGUACCCCUGGAGGGGAGGGCUGGCCCAGCAUGACUCGGUGACUUAUCUAGGGCAACAAGUAAAGCCCAGCACCACGAACUUCAGAGCUGGGAAGAUCCUCAGAGACCAGUGCAGACACGGAGGCCUAGAGCCAGAAGCUAGCAAGGCGCGGCCCAGGCUCUUCCGGGUCUGAGACUGUUUUCUCCAAUGCUAAGGUGUGAGCGCAUUUUAAACAUCAGCAAGCUCAUGGGUGAUGGCUGAAUGAGGUCUGGAAUCCAUCCACAGGGCAGUGUCUGUCUCCAAGGAGAGUAACAGCAUCCACCAGGGCUUGGACUAACUAAGGAGGGGGAUGGGGACACUGAUUGCAGCGGGUGUUUUUUUCUUUUUUAAGUACAGAAGAAAUACUUUCUCAUUAAAAGUAAUUCCACAUAGAGAUGUAUGUGAAUUACAGGGAGAAAGCCUUCAGCUUCCCUCCGGCUCUGCCCCGAGCCCACCCCAUAGGUGGCCAUCAGUAAGGAUUUCUUGGGAAUCCUUCCAGAUAAUUUCUACUUCUACAAGCACACACCUCUACGAAUGGGAAAAUAUUGUGGGUAAUUUUCUACCGUUUGCUGUUUUGUGCUUCAACAAUAGAUCAUGGACAGCUUUCCUUGUUGUAACGGCUGUAAAACAUUCCAGAGAAUGAAUAUAAUAUCCUUGAAAAUAUGUCCCUGAAGCCUCAUGAGAAAAUUUCUCUAAGUAGUUUUUUCUUUUUUUGAAAUGGAGCUUCUGAAUCGAAAAGUUUUUCACUUUAAAUGUUGGAUGAGUGCUACCAAAACACUGUGCAUCUUAGGGCAAGUGUCGCUGAGCACCUGCUUCCCCAUAUUCUCAGCAGUAUCAUUUCAGUUCUUAGCAAUCUGGCAGGCAAAAGGAAAGUCUGAUUUUGUUUGAAUUUGCAUUUUCCUGAUUACCAGCAAACUAGUUUAAGCUUAAUGGGCACGUCGUAUUUCUAUUCUCUGAACUGCCCAUUUUUCUACCAUUCAGUUUGGUUUUUUUUUUUCAUUGACUUGUAGGAGCACUUUGCAUAUGACGGAUAUAAAUUCUUGGAGCACUGCAUGCAUCACGACUAUUUUUCUCUGAGCUUGUUAUUUAUCUCUUAAUCUUAAUUAUGGUGUUUGACAGAUGAAUAUUUUACAUUUCUACUUUAUCUUAUCUCUCAAUCUUUUCUUCUAAGGCUUCUGAGUUCUAUUAGAUAUUUAUUUAGUUUGGAAACUAGACCAGUGACUUUUUUUAACUGGUUGUUAUGUACUAAAACAUGGUCAAAUUUAGAAGAAAAACAAAUCAUAUUAAAGCCUGUCAAAGGAAAAGCUCACGGGUGUCAAAUAACACGCCCCUUUCACUUUCCCCAGCACCCUGUGAGGAGGGUUACCUCUGUGGAGCCGGUGAAGGCGAUCUUGUUGAUCUGAGGGUGAGAAGAAAUUGCUGCUCCCACUGUGGGCCCGAAUCCUGGCACAAUGUUCACCACUCCUGGAGGGAACCCGGCCUGGGAAGAAAUCAAGAUAGCACUUGAAGAAGAACGGACUUCAUCCACCACGGAUCCACAUUUGGGCCGAGAGAGCCGUGGCUGCCUCACAUCCCCACAGGGAACCCGGGCCGGGCUGGAUUUACCCAGGACCCAGAAGCAGUUGACCGUGGGCACCCUGGGAGCUGACCUGGGCUUCUCAUCCCCUGCUGCCAGCCCAGUGUGCAGGCUGGGCAAGGGGAGAUGCCCACUUCUCCUUCUGGGGGGGGACCCCAUCCCAAAGUGAUAUGCAGUGCAAAUGUGUGGUUAUGCUUCAAGGUGGCCAUGGCCCGCCUGUAGCACAGCACCUUUCCAUGUGGGGUGUGUGUGUGUGUGAGGGAGAGUGUGUGUAUGCGUUAAGGGGAGAGGGGUACCUUGAUCAGAAUGCCCUGCCCAGGAUCAGAGGCACCUGCAAAAUAUCUGCCAAGAGCUUCAGUUUUGUUUUUUCUUCUUUUUUUUUUUUUUGAGAUGGAGUCUUGCUCUGUCGCCCUGGCUAGAGUGUAGUGGCGCGAUCUUGGCUCACUGUAAGCUCCGCCUCCCAGGUUCACGCCAUUCUCCUGUCUCAGCCUCCUGAGUAGCUGGGACUACAGGUGCCCGCCACCACGCCUGGCUAAUUUUUUUUUUUUUAAGUAGAGAUGGGGUUUCACUGUGUUAGCCAGGAUGGUCUCGAUCUCCUGACCUCGUGAUCCACCCACCUCGGCUUCCCAAAGUCCUGGGAUUACAGGCGUGAGCCCAGUUUUCAUUUUUUAAUCAGACCCGUUAUUAUUCCAAAUGGUGACAGGGUAUCACUCCCUUAAAGUUCUUUGCUUGUUCAACCUGGGUCUCACCUGGAGCAAGCCCUUCUGGAAGGCAGGGACUGCCACCUCGUUCACGUUCAUGCCUCGUGUUUUUCAUAUACUAAGCCUCUUUAUCAGGCGAGAACACAAAACAAACGAGGUGGAGGAUGCUCUUCCCCACCUGUGCUGAGUCUUACUUAGAACACAUUAUUUCAGAAAAUCAAGAUUUUAGGCACGCUGCUUGAGUCUUUAGAUUUUUAGGCACUGUUUCUUAACAGUUGGGAUUUUCACAUUCCUAAGUCUCACCAGUGUGACUUAAUUAUGCCCCACAUCACCAAAGGAAAGUGGAAAAUUGGCUCAUCACCAGCUGUUCCCACCUUGCUUCUAAGCAACUGUGGACCUGCCUGCCGGUCAUAUCAGCCCGACUAAGAAGAGAAAGGAAUGGAUCUUUUCUUCUGUCCCUCUUUGCUUCCUGUUGCUUUCUCUAAAUCUUUGCUCCAUACAACCUGGGGAUGGAAUGACUAAAGGUAUGUCUGGAAGGAGGUGUCCCAUUGAGCCUCUGUUUCCCUAAGUUCUGGCUGCCUGAGGGAGAAGAGAUUGCAUUCAGAGCAGAGGGCACUGAUUAGCAGGGACCCGGCACACGGACUGCUGCAGCCGCCCAGCUAGAGCUGACGAGGCCACCUCUCCAGAGAAAAAUGGACCAUUUCAUAAACUGAGAAUGCAAAUCCCAGAGAACCUCCCAAAUAUUUGGCUCCCUCUUGGUUGACCCCCCCUGAAAAUUCUCUAGACAAACCACUGGGUCCUCAACCAUAGGUUUGAGCCCAUAAUAAGAGUUAAGCAUUCUCAUUAGGACCACUGGGAGGAAUGGAGUUUCUCCAGCUCAGUGGCCACAAGCAGGAGAAAGAACGUGCAGUCGCCAAACAAAACACUGGAAGUCAUUCCCUUCCCACUCGAUUGCCAGCAGUCUGCCACUGUCCCAUCUCGUGACGGUGGCCUGGUUCCUAGGAGUGGGAAUGUUACCAAGAACAUGUGAUAUUUUCUUUUUGGAUGUCUCACCUCUUUGAUCAGAGAGCCGAGAUAAAGGGCGGUGAGAGGUGUCUGCUCCGCAGGCUUCAGGACCAUGGUGUUCCCACAGCAGAGGGCGGGUGCCAGCUUCCACACCAGCAUCAGCAGGGGGAAGUUCCACUGCGACAGAGCACAGGGGCUUUGGAGGCCCAGAUCCACCCUCUUACCCUGUCCCAUGUGCUCAACGAUGCCUUUGUGGAGGACACUUGCUUUUCAUGGUCUGGAUUUGGGGUAUGUGGGGUAACAUAGGAGUGUGCAAUGAUCAGAACUGCAAUCCUGCACAGCACUUCCUAAACUGCAUUCUGGGUGGUACUAAUAGGCAGCCUUUGCAAAGAGGAUGCUGUUGCAUGUGUUCUACCUCUCCCUCUAAAACAUCUGCUGAAGACGUGUCCUCCUCCCUGCCUCCAUGGGCACUUUUUGAACCCUCACUUCAUGUUGCCACCUGGCUCUUCAGCUUCCUGCCUGGCUGUUGUUGCAAUGGCCAGAGGCUUCCCAAACAGACAGGCAGCAUUGUUGCACUUCUUGGGCACCUAUAAGCAUCCCCACCGCCCAAUGAAUAAAGUCCCGGCCCCUUAGCAGCCAAAGCUGCUGGAAGCUGGCCCACACCACCUGCCACGUGUGCUCACCCUUUUCCUCACUUUUGCUCCUGCCUGAGCUCUAGCCCCACCAGCUUUCCUGCUGUUCCCUUCCAAGUAGCCCAGCCACCUCUGCACUUUUGCCUAGGCCAUUCCCACUCCUUGGAAAAUCCUUUUCCUUGUUGAACAAGUCUUUCUUAUCUUUAAGGCCCAGCUAAGAGACCACCUUCCUGGGAAUGCUGGCCAUUCCUGACCACUCUGGCUGGGAACCACAGUGCUUUCUGUGGCAUGCCUAAAGCCGGUCUUAGGAGAGCAGAAAUGGGGUCUAAUCCAUCUCAAGAGCCCCCAAGCAUGGAGUUCCAUGCCACGAAGAAAAUGCUUGUUCAACGCUGGUGCAAUCAGAUAAAAACACACCAGAAAUUGAUUCCAAAGGACACAGGGCAGUGGGGCAGGAUCUACAUAGAAUCUACUGAGAAAGGCUGCCAUACUUACUGGAGUGAUGGCCCCACAGACACCAAUGGGCUCAUGCCUGGUGAAGCACACGACGUUGUCAUCUGGAAGAGGGUUACAUGGUGGGGAAGGACACACUCACUUAGUCCAGGUUAGGAACUUCAAGUAGUAAAAAGACAAGAAAGAAACCAACAAGGGUGCCAGAUUCAAGUCUUGUCUAUUAUACAGAGAAGUGAUUUGACCUCAACUUUAAAAGUGAAGUUCUUAGAAGAAGAAUUGGCAGUACCAUUUGGAGAGGGAGUGGGGUUGGGAAUGGUGCCUUAGGGAAACAGUCAGGGGGGGCUCUGGAUUAAUGAAAAGAUAUAGCCCCAAAGGGAUCCCAAAUGAAGCUAUAAUCCACCUUGCUCACCUGUGGGGAUGGUCUUGCCCUGGAUUUUGUCUGCCCACCCUGCAAAGUAUCUGAGGGUUCUAAUACAGCCCUCCAGGUCGAUGAAAAAAGCAUGAAGAAAUGGCUUCCCUGUAUCCAUCGUCUCCAGGGCCUGCAAUAACAAGAUGAUGUCUGUUUCGGACAUAGCUUGCUUUUCUUUUGCACUGUCAGGUUGUUAAAGAUGGAAGUUGGGGAGAGAACACAGUCCUAGGACAUUGCUCUGUAGACCUCACAGUCAGAUGCACCUCUUCAGAAAGCAUGACACCAAAUGUAAAGCGAGGCCUGUCUCUGAGUGUGAGGAUUGCUUUUAUUUCAAAACACCUAAAGUGGGCUGCAGGGUGGUGGGCUAAAACAUAGACAUGCACCCUCUUUGAAGGGCCCCUUGGAGGCCAGGCGGAUUUAAAGCUGUGCUGGGAAGGAACGCACACUGGCAUCUGAUCUUCCAUCUGUAGCACAGUGGCCUCUGCUGUGUGGCCAGUCGUGUGUGCUUGUGUGUUCCCAGGAAGCUCUCUGAAGGUUAGCUGGCUCUGGGGUGGCUGCAGUGGGAGCUGCCCUCCUCGAACAAAAGAGAAAGAGAAGAUGUAGGCUCUUCCUUCUCGGCCAGGCUGGCCAGUGUGGCUGUGGAAAGUGACUGAGCCGAGAAGGGUCGCGCCCCCAGCACAAAGAUGCAAUCCUUCCCUCCUGCACUGCAGAGCCCGGCCGGCCGGAUGCAGAGUCGGAAGGGAGCAGACUGCCCUGCUGGUGAGGGAGGUGAUUACCCAGGGCGAGUGUGCAGCCACUCAAUGGCAGGGAUUCUUUUCUAUUUCCAGCCGGGGUGGAAGAGAACCCCUUUGUCCCUCAGACAAGUGGCCCCAGUUGAGCCCAGCGCUGAAACCGCCAGUCAUCCGCCUCUGCAGGAAGUGGCCGCCCUGACACAUAGCCCAGGGCUGGAUUCUUGUGGAAGAGUCAGUGGAGUGAGAUGGUGAUUGAAAAAGGAAGAAGGCCCCUCCUCAGAUCCAGGGCUUUAACCCCAGCGCACUCCCCGAUGUCUCACCCUUUGAGCUCCAUGACUGCAUUCCCACUUCAAGGUGCAGGCACGGACGCUAACGGCCCAGUGACUUGGCCAAGGCCACCCAGUAAUGCAGCAGCUGAAUUGGGGGCAUCUACUUCUGGCCAGCACAGCGACUGGCCUUUACAGGCUGCUCCUGGACAGGUGUGUCUGGAAAGACUGCAGGGCAGCCACUCCGGAUGCUCGGGCUACCCCAGCUCCCCUUUGCUUCAGGAAUGAGCCAAGCCCCCUUUAAAUAGGAGGCAACUACAUCUGCUGAACCCUAGUUAAGUAAGUGGGCCUUGGGUAAGUCCCUGAAUCACUCCUUGCCUCAGUUUCCUCAUCUGUAAAAUAAGAAUAAUAACGGUUCCUACCUCACAGGGCCAGCGUUAGAGUGAAAGGAGUCAGUGUCCACAGAGCAGCAACCACAGUGCCCGCCCAUGGUGAGUGCUGGAUUGGUGUUCACAUGAGAACACUGAUGAUUACACUGACUAUCAUCAACUUCCCUUUAGGCACCAGAGAAGGGCUUGGCGAUCCUCACCUGGGGACCCAGACAGCGCACUGGGUUGCUAAAGACCACAGGACUGGUCUAGCUUGGGGUGUGUGUUCUGCCCCCAGCAGCUGCCACUCAGGGACUGAGUCAGGCCAGUGUGACAUCAAGUAUACUCUAGUGUUGGUUCCUAUAGAUUUUCACUCAAGCGUGAACUUUCAUUUUUCCAGGGGAAGCCUAGCAAUUGCAAAUAGUGCAAAAAGGCCUCUAAGACUGACCUAUUCCAGACAGUAUCUGCAUAUCUGUCAGUGGAAUUGCAAGUUUAUUCUUUGCUCUUUUCUGGGAUGGAACAAGAGAGAGGACUUCAACAUCCAGCACUGAGGGUAAGCGCGAGACAUGGAGCCAAGAUUCUGCCUCCAGUCCUGGAUUACCACCUCUGGCUGGGUGACCUAGGACAGGUUACUUAACCUCUCUGGGCCUCAGUUUCUCAUCUCUGAAAUGAGAUAAUAAAUCCUACAGGUCAACAAGCCAGGUACAUGGCGAACAUUCAGCCAGCAUUGCUAUUUGUUUUUAUUGUCAACUUCAGCAAGUUUGCUUACUGGAGUGACAACAUGAAUUUACCAGGUUAGUUUUAUGGAAUUUCUCUGAGCAAAACCCAGGUCAUGAUAGGUUUAGACGGGAAAUUAUUAAAAAAAAUUAUGCAGGUGAGUGAGUCCAAGUGCUCGCUACAGAUUGAAACAGUCAUCCUUUAAACAACUUGUUACUGUGGCUCAAUCAUGAGUAAACCAUAGCCACUCCUAAGUUUAUUUCCUUUAACAUUUUAAGAGGAAAAUGUGCCUCCUGAGAAAUUAACACAUCAGAACCCUCAGAUACUAAAGAAUGACGGGAAGUGCCAGGAAAACAGCACGGCAGGGCUUACAACGAGAGGACCCAGAAAUGGCACUUGGGGUGAAAAGGAGAGUGGAUAGGGAGGGCUUCCGUUUGGGAGCUCCCAAAAUGAGCGCCCAAAGAGCAGAGUUGGGGCCUGGGUGCCCCAGCAAAGGAAAGCCAUCCAGGGGCCGCUGGAUCCCCCACAUCUGUUUCCAGACACUGAGCACAGAAAUAAACACCCAGCUCUGUCAAACCACUGAGCCGGCAAGAGAACACGCUCCAUGAACAUGCACGGAAACCAUAUCGAGGUGGAGAGCAAGGGGCGCUCUCCUGUGAUGUGGUUGGAGUUUUAAAAACCGUGUUUGCCAGUAAUUCUCUUGUCCCUUUCAUGUUGUGGCAAAGAGCUGGAUCUUAUUUCUCGUGGGCUGCGAGGUGCCAGUGGCAGAAGUGAUUUGCUGGGUUUGCAUUCUGAGAUCCUCCAAAGCUGUCUGCUAUCAAAACACAGUCGUGCCAGGACAAUGGGGCAGCCUGAAGAUGAAGGUGGCUUUGUAGCCUCUGCUCCUAAGAUGAUACUGACACUUAAGGACAGGGUUCAGGGCGGGGGGUGCCCAGGGCACAUCCUCUCUAGCCUGCUAUUAGUCCACACGGACAUUGCCGACCGAUGAGCUCAUGCCGGGUGAAAACAGAAAUGUUUUUGAAAAAGCCAGUUUGGCAGCUUGAGGGUUGACGCUGGCUUACGUUGCAGGAAGAAACCAGAGGCUCCUCAGAGAGAAGCGCUUACCCUGGGAGGGAGCUACUCUCACCCGGGGAACAUGUGGACUGGCCGGGCUGACUGGGAAGGAAGGAAGGGGAGCUCGAGUUUCUGUGUGGAUGCACCCUUAGGGAAAUGCACCCAAGAGUACGGCCUGAGAGUUCCUCCACCCUGAGAAACACAUUCAGGGGCAACAGCAAUUUCCGUGUCCUGGCUGACACCCUCCUUUAAACAGUGGCUACCCUACUGCUUGUUCCCGACAUCAGAAAAACCAUUUUUCCAAAUCAAAGGCCAGAAAGGAGAUCUCCUCCCCUACAACCGGGCCUCAAGGUUUGGAACAACUUUUAAAAACAAGAGGCUGAGAUGGGCAAGGACAGGAUGCAAAGGACCUCAUGGCCCAACGUGGCCCUGAGAUGUCCUCUGAUCACUCCCUCAUGACCAGAGGAGGGUCUGAGGAUCCUGCUAAAAAAUGGACUUACAACUGAUGAAUGCCUUGGCAGCUCAGCCUCAUGGGGUAUGCUCCAUCAAUAUCCCCACCUAGGGUAUCUAGAAAUUACUGGCCAGCAGUGCAUGUAGGUGAGGUUAGAAAAUGGGUCUUCACAUGACCUCAUUAUGAUAACUGCUAUUAUUAAUGAUAGCUGUCAUCUAUUUAGUGCUUACUGCCUGCCAGGGACUCUGCCUAGAAUCUUAAAUAGAUCAUUCUUACACCACUGAGUUAUCAUUAUCGGUGACAUUUUACAUGAAGAAAUAAAUCUCAGAGAGGUUUCACAACUUGUCCAAAGUCACACAGCUAGUAAGUGGCAGAGUGGGGAUUUGAACCCAGGUCUUUCCUAUUCUGAGGUUUCCUAUAACCAGGCUAUCCUGCCCUCACCACCGCUCCACAUAUGCUCGCUACUAGCCAGUUCAGGGGUGACUGAGGAAUGAUUUUAGGUCACAUGGGAACAAUUUUUUCUAUGUUAAGUGGUGGCAUUUAUUUUGGUAAGUAUUAGAAAAAUAAAAUUAGCACAUCAAACCUGUGAUUUCAUGAAUAUUGUUUCUUAGGAUGAGAUUAAACUUAAGUUUAAAAGGGAGUUAAGGCUGGGUGCAGUGGCUCACAUCUGUAAUCCCAGCACUUUGGGAGGCCAAGGCCGGUAGAUCACCUGAGGCCAGGAGUUCGAGACCAGGAGUUCAAGACCUGGCCAACAUGAUGAAACCCUGUCUCUGUUACAAAUAUAAAAAUUAGCCGGGCAUGGUGGCAGGCACCUGUAGUCCCAGCUACUCAGGAGGCUGAGGCAAGAGAAUCAUUUUAACCUGGGAGGCAGAGGCUGCAGUGAGCCGAGAUCGCGCCACUGCACUCCAGCCUGGGUGACAGAGGGAGACUCUGUCUCAAAAAAAUAAAUAAAAUAAAAUAAAUAAAAGGAAGUUUAUACAAAAAAGAAAAAAGUUAAGUACAUAAACACACAGGUGGUACCAGGAUAUGGCCCAGCUCAUGGUCACCAAUCUGUGAGUGCCCCAAGUCUGAGACCACUGAUGUAGCUCAACUGCCUAUAGACAACAACUUGGUCAAGAAGCUGAGCUGCAGAGGACAAAAGUCUGACUUCAAAAUGAAAGGGAUUCAGUCUAGAGGCAUUAACACCUGCAAGUAUUGCCAGAGAGCCGUGUCUCAGAGGAUGGAACAGACCCACGACCACACAAAACCAGGACCGUGAUCUUUUUUCCCAUACCCCAUGGUGGACAGGACCCUCAGUGAGGCUGGCUCAUCCCCCACCGGCCCCCAAGUGCAUGUACUCACGGCCAAGGUGGCGCGGUCCCUCUCCACCAGGUCAGCCAGCUGGUGCAGCAGCCGCCCACGACUCAGGGCAUCCAGCCGGCGCCAUGGCGAGCCCCUCUGGAAGGCAACCUGUGCAGCCUCCACAGCCUUGUCCACGUCGGGCUGAGCGACCAGAACAACAGAGAGAGACUGUCAUCUUUUGACGUGACUGCAGUUUGGGUGUCAUCUUUUGACGUGACUGAAGUUUGGGUGUCAUCUUUUGAGGUGACUGCAGUUUGGGUGUCAUCUUUUGACGUGACUGCAGUUUGGGUGUCAUCUUUUGAAGUGACUGCAGUUUCGGUGUCAUCUUUUGAGGUGACUGCAGUUUGGGUGUCAUCUUUUGAGGUGACUGCAGUUUGGGUGUCAUCUUUUGACGUGACUGCAGUUUGGGUGUCAUCUUUUGAGGUGACUGCAGUUUGGGUGUCAUCUUUUGACGUGACUGCAGUUUGGGACCACGGCCAUCAGUUAUAGAGAACAGCAGAUUGUCCCGCUGGCAGACAGGCUGCAAGCAGCAGCAUGUUUUUCAAUCACUUGAAUGGCUGGGAGCGUUCAAGUGAUUUUUUUUCUUCUUUACAUCUUAAUAUUUCUACAGUGGCCAAAUACCAAUGUUUGUUUCUGAUUAUAAAAAGCAUUUAAAAAUAUUUCCUAAAGAGUAUUUUUCUCAGGGACCCAAGUACGGAAGGACUUUCCACUGGCUGCCUCAGUGUGAACGCACACGAGCCUGCUGUUCACAGAUCAGGUGGGAAGUGUCUGCCUGGCAUUUGAUCCCAGCUGGGAACUUGUGGUCCAAGAGUGAGAAUGGGGAAAUUCCUUCCUUUCUGGAUUGCAGAACUGACCAUCGUGGAACAGUUCGCAGACAGGGAGGAGCAUGAAGGCCGUUUUUCUCCCUUCAGCCUCACCCACCCCAUGGGAGCAGAACUGGAUCUUUUGUGCACUGAUAGAAUAAUCACAACGGAACCUUCUUUCUAAAAGGAAAGAAGUGAGGGCCAUUUAGAGUAGUGUCACUGUCUCUUUUUCUCAGGAAAAUGGGCCACAUUCAUCUCGAAGGCCCCUCCAUGCCUCUCUCUUUCUAGGAAGGUACAGCAGGGAGUGGAUGUGGGACACCAGUCAGGAGUGACUCUACCGAGUCUCUGUGUGUCCAGAGCUGGCUUGGGGGUGAGCAGAAGCUUGGCAGGGGAGAUGUGGGACACUGAAUUUCUUCUCCCAGGCUCUGGGGUGGAGGCCAGGACCUUUCCAGCUGCAGAGGGUGUGGUGGCCUCUGGCUCAGAACAGUCACUCAGACCAAGGGAGAAAUCAAGGCCCAGGGCAAGGGUCUCGUUCUCCUCCUAGCACCUGUACGGGGCACUUGGGAGUCUCCUAGUGGAAACCCCAUUCCAUGUCAUGGCUUCCCCCCAAUGCCCUCACAUUUUUCUAUGAGCUCCUCUGUGCCACUUUCUUUGUUAGCAGAGCCUAACUGUCAUGAGGUGCCACACAGAGGGGGGUCUGUAUAGGUGGGGCCAGUGUGCAUUUGCACGUCUGUCACAAAAACUCAUGGGCAAGAUAAAAUCCAAGCCUACUCUGCACACGCCCUUCACUGCAUCCACUUCCAACGUCAUCAGUUUGCUGACCAAGAACAUCAGUCCAGCACUCCAGCAGCUAAGGAAACAUUUACAUCUCCCUGCCCUCAGUGGAAGGGCUUUACCUCUGCACUGACAUUCAGAAUAGAUUUGAUGGCCUUGCAAUGUAUAAAGGACACAUUCGGAAGUCCCUUAGCUUCUGUAUUACUAUAUAGACCUUGCACUUGCAAAUAGAGUGAUAAAGGUUACCGCUUUCCAUGCUCAUGUAAAUUUCUAGGAGAAAAGAAAUCUGGUGGUUACAUUGUUAACUAUCCCCGCAUCACCCGGGUAGCAACUAUUUUUUUUCCUUCAAAGUGUCUAUUUUUUUCUAAAGUGUCUUCUGCCAGAAAGCUUCAUUUCGUGAAACACACCAGCGGGAAAUGCUUUCUGGAAAGAUUCUUUAAUGCCUCCAGGUCCAAAUAAUUGAUAAAAAAAAAAAAAAAAGAAAAAAGAAAACCUUUCCUUUAGCCAUAUGAUGAGGAUAGCUGAGGUCAUCCUCAUAGUAGGAGAAACAUCUAUCAAGGGAGAAUGAUUCUCUGCAGAGGAUCAUCGGUAAUUGAUGCCAUUCUGUGCCACACGUCUGAGAACCACAUGCCAAUUCACGCAGCUAGCCCAGGCCCUGCCCCCAGGAUAGGCCAGUUCUGUCUUAUAGCUAAGCCGAACCGUUUCCUUAUCCUUUGGUCAUCCAUAAUUGAAUUACUUAGAGCAAAUUUAUUUUAAGUAUUUACCUUAUCUCCUUCUUCCACUUCACAUAUUUGCUCCCGAGUUGAAGGGUUACAUGUAGCAAACUUUUUCCCACUCUUGGAUUCGUGCCAUUCAUUGUUGAUAAAUAUCUAACCAGGAAAGGAAGUGUAACCAAUUAGGUUUAGAUCAAAAUCAUAUAAUUUCAACAUGCUAAGGACCUUAGGUGACGUCUUAUCCAUCUUGUCCACCUUCCUCUCUGCUGCUUCCCUCUCCCCUUCGACAUCUUAUAGAUGAGACCCGGAGGGGAACAGAGUCCCAGGACUGCAUGACCAACAGAUCAACUAGGACAGACUCGAAAUUCAAGUUUUGGUCAAAUAAAACUAUAGUCACUUAGAGAUUUUUUUCUAAAUUAUUAUUAUUAUCUUCAGCAAUAACAUGGAUUCACAGAGGAAUGGCUAAGUUAAAUGGUUAAAUAGAGGCUGUGAAUGGAAUCUCAUACCCCAAUAGACUUUGGGGGAAGAGUCAAUAGGUUUAUAUACAUAAAAGUCCCAAGCAGUCCGCCUGCCCCUGAAGGGUAAGGACGCACCGAGCACUCCCUUUCUCCUUUCAGUGGCAACACUCAGCAAGAUUGAUUGCCAAGGAGCUCACUUUGAGGAGGAUCUCACCAUCGCCCUUCAGUUUUCACCAAUGCACAUCAGCAUGUCCCUCCCCAGCACAUUCCCCUUAAAAUGUGUAUUUUCAUAGCAAACCACCAUGGCGCAUGUUUACCUAUGUCACAGACCUGCACAUCCUGCACAUGUACCCUAGAACUUAAAAUAAAAGUUGAUAAAAUGUCAAAAAAAAAAAAAAACCCAGAAAAACCUCCGAAGCUUGAUAAUAAACCAGCGUUGAAGUACAAAGUUAAAUGUCUGGGUUAGAAACUUUCCAGGUUACAUUAAGAGAUGUCGCAAAUAACUGUUUAUAUAACCCGCAGAAAUCACUUUUCUGGGAACCUCAAUGAUCCAGAAUGCAGAUGAGAAUGAAAGUUUUUUUGACAAAAGACAUCAUGAGCAGACUAAGAAGAACAUACGAAGUCCAUGCACUGAAACAUAUGUACUAUUUACUGUUAGUUUACACUAAGUUCUAAUUGUCUUAUUAAUGUCAUAUUAAAAGAGAGGGCUUUUGGAAAAAACUAGGAAGAGACAUGACAGACAAUAUACAAAACACAUUCCGACAGCACGGAGGUCCCCGGCUGCCCAGCCAGAAGACACACAAACUCCUGCUACACCAACUUGGAAUGGCUUCCUCAUCACAGCCUAUCACAGCAUCAGAAGAACCCCCGUGGCAGAAAUGGCUGACACGCAUGUCUCUCAAGUAAAAUGCCGUCAGUAAUUUCUGAGUACAGAAUUAGUUCAUCAGGUUCCGUUUUUACAUCUAUCUGCAUGUGGUAUACAUAGCUUUACUUUGCUUCUUUUUGAAUUGUUUAAAGGAAGAAUUGCGUCCCUCAAGGGCUAAUUUCAAUUAUUGUGAAAUUGAUUCAUUUGAAACAUUUGACUCCCCAGUGAUGACAGAUGAGAGAGGGCAGCCAUCUCCUAAGCAUGAGUCUUGGUUACAUUCUCUGUAUUGGGCUUCCUGUAUAAACUCCACAGCUCCGGCUUAAUACCUGGGUGAUGGGUUGAUCCAUGCAGCAAACCACCAUGGCACAUGUUUACCUAUGUAACAAACCUGCACAUCCUGCACAUGUACCCCAGAACUUAAAAGUUGAUAGAAUGUUAAAAAAAAAAAAAACCCACAAAAACCUCUGAAGCUCAUAGUGAGGAAGCCUGGUCUGAGUCGGUUGGGGACCAAGCACAGGAGGCAGACUCUGGCUGGGCAGGUGAGCAGAGACCAGCUGCCCCCCAGUUUGGAAUCCAGAACUGAGAGCAUCGGUCACCAUUGGGAUUUGCCUGUCUGGCUUCUGGAAGCUUAGCGUCUCCAAUGUGAGGCCAGGCCCCCAGGGAAGCGCACCAGGAAAAGGCCAGGCUACAAUUACAGGUUUAUUCUUCCAGCUGAAACUAAAUCCAAGAGUUCACUUUUGCCAUCCAGCAAGUCAUCACUUGGUAACAGCGAGAAAUUAAUAACUGAGGAAGAAGAGUUAAGUUAGUGCGGGGAGGAAAGUGCAGCCAGGAAGAGGGGCCCAUUUGUAGAAAGAUGAAAUUUCGUGGGUUAGAUAAUAGAGACUGUCAGUGAAAAUUGCUGAUUCUAGGUCCUUCCUGGUAUCAACUCCAAGGGGGAGGGAAAAUGAGAAGGUGGCAGAAGAGAAUAUAAAUAAGGGGGCUGAAAACAGAUUACAAUGAUCGGAUGUCUGCUAUACUGCUAUACUUCAUCUCCAAGCAUGCUCCUCCAAAAAAAAUUACUGUUUGUUCAUGACAUUGAUCUGUAACCAGCAACCUUAAAAAAAAAUCAGACUGUUUGACUCUAACCAUAUUUUCCCAUCACUAUGUUUUUAAUUUUGUAAAAUCUUUUACUUUAUACCACACUACAGUAGUAAGUAAUCUUGUAAGUGGUUUCUACUGUUGAUUUUUCUCUCCAUUAAAACAAAACAAAAGCACAAAUAUAAGGAAAGGGUAUAUAAAUAUGGUCUACUGAUUAUGCUGGCUGUAUUGUUUUGAACUCCAAAUCAGGGUAAAGGGUCUAGAAGGAAUUGUUGUCUUUGAUUUGUGGAUUAGCAUACAACAAACCUUAUAGAGGUAUAGCAUUAAGCUACAUUGAGCUGUAGACCUGGUUCACAUUUUACAAAAGGAACAGAAUGACAUGGAAGCAGGACGGAGCUGUAAGGUGUCUCAGGCAGAGGUGAAGAUGACAGUCAUACAAGUGAAUCCUAUUGAUGCCGAUUUCCCGUAACUUCCAUCUGACAACAGGCCACUCAGCUAAACUCAAAAAGAAUAUGUUUUCAGAAAAGGAGAUUUGGGGGAAUUUUAUUUUUCAUAAGAGAGAUAAUAAAAACCGGUGUUUUAAAAAUCAGAAAACUUUGAAGAGAAUCCCUGCUACUGGAAGAAAUUUUAUAAGGAAAGAAAGAGGCCCUCUAAAUUAGAAGGGACUUCUAUCCUCUGAGAUCUGUGUGGGGACCCUGGAGGGGCUCUCAGCUCUCCAGAAUCACACAGCAUGACCCUAGAGAAUGAAAUGUUAACAUGUGAGGACAAAUGAAGGGGCUUUGACAAAGUCAUCCUGAAAGUUGGACCACCCUGGGAAAUGGCACUGCCGGGGCUAGGGCUCAGAUGGACCAACUCUGGUGUGUGCCCCAUUAUCGAGAAGCACCAUGAGUCAAUUUUGGAAAAUAGCAGACCACUGCUGGCUCCCAUGCUCCACCGUCUGCUCUCCUGCCAGGCCACCCACCUGCCGGGCCACUCGCCCACUCUGGGCCUCAGUCCUGCACUUCAGUUUAUCCCGCUCCUUCCCUCGGCAGGCACUCUUGGUGGCCUCACUCUCGGCCGCCUCUCCAGUCCAGUCUCCCUGAGGACUGUGCCAGGGCACUGGUUGGCCACCCUCAGCCACACAAGCUGCCUGGGUCCACAACUGCUAUGGGGAGGUCUCUGCAGAGAUGGGCCAGGAGCCAGGACAGAGCAGGCAGCAGCACAGUCCCCCAACGGGUGAGGAGCCAGCAGCCGGUGUCAGGCAGUUGGGGCCUUUAUCGCCUGGGAGACCACUCAAGAUCCCAGCACUCCAGGCCGAUCCACCAGCUUCCCUCAGCCUCAUUCCUGCACUGGUUCCCUUUAACUGGCAAAGGUUGCGCACCCACCAAGACAACAGGCAACCAUUGCUCUGUGAAUUGUCUAAGGUCUCCAUAAGGGCUACAUCUACACUUUAAAAGUGUCCUAAAAAUCAUAGAGAAAGAGGUAAACUUUUUGUAUGUGGUCAGAUUGCUGAUAGGACUCAAAAACAUAAAAAGUAAAAGGACCAUAAUACAUUUACUGUCUGGUUUCUAUAUACAGUAUUUUGAAAUCCUGUACAACCAAAAGAAAACAAACAACCUCCCCACUUAACCAUC
rnacentral:lncRNA from 1 species